ensembl:lncRNA
GGCGCCCGCUCCGCUCCUCCCCCGGUGCGGCUGCCCCGAGCCGCGCGUCCCCGCCUGCCCCGGGCCGUGCGCUGCCGCCGCGCUCGGUCGGGAGGAAAAAUCUGAGAAAAGCUCCAAAUAAUAAAAAGCAGCCCCAAAAAGGAGCUUCCCGGCCUCGCCGCCGGUAAAUCCCGGUGGAUGCUCCUCAAAGUUCGCAGCGCGGGCGCGGUGCGCCGCCGGUGCGCGCCUGGCGGGCGGGCUGCAGGGCAAAACCGGGGGGAAAAGGAGAAAAACGGGGAAAAGCCGUGAGAAAAGGGAAAAGAAUGGGGAAAAAACGCGUGCGGUCCCCAGCCCCCCCCCCCCCCCCCGCGGGAGGAGCGGGGGGAGCGCGGAGCCCCCCGGCUCGCUCGGGCCCGGCGGGCAGAGCUCCGCACCCGCGGAGCCCCGGCGGGGCGGGGAGAGGCGCAGCCCCGGGACCCCCGACCCUCUCCCGAGUUCCAAAAUGACCUUUCCCUGCAUCGUUUUGGAGCAGAAAUAAAAGAAGGCUUGCAGCUACCAGAAAGUCAUUAAGGCAUUAGUUUCUCUGAGAAGACAGAUCUGAAGAAAAUUCAAGAAAAUGAGAAAAUAGAUCUAAAUAAGGUGGAGCUGAAUACAGUGGUUAACUACAAGCAAUAUGUUCUGAAGAUGAUGGUGUUCAGACAAAUACCCAAUUUGAUUCUGAUAAAUUGGAUGCAAGACUUUGACCAGAAUGAGAAGAACAGGCAUUGUGGAAGCAGACAGCAUCCCAGACCUGUGGAGGAGCUCAGCAGGGGGAGAAAAUAUUCCCAAUGUCGUGUUGCUGCUGGUGGCUCAGGCAGUUUGAACAGAGGUCUGUGGUGGUCCAGCUUGUUGGAAACUUUUGUGCUCAAACCAGGAGGAUGCUACAGCUGGAGCUAAUACAUGAGUAAGUUUUCUGGAGGCCAUUAUGUCUCCCAGGGUUUUGAGGUUUUCUCUAAAGGAGACAUUGCUCUGUGUGUGAGGGAGUGAGAAAGAGCAUCGCCUCAAGGGUUUCAGUUAUCACACUGUCUAAAUAUCCCUUAUUUUUAGUUAGAGUCUUCUGAAUAUGAGAUCCCACUACAGGUAGGUGAAGUGACCUCUUUGGGUUUGAAUCUGCUCCUCUCUGGCGGAUGCAAAGCUGCAGCUUUGAACAGGAGCCCCCUCCUGCUCUGUGCAAAGCUCUUUGAAUUGCCCCUGAUAGGCUUCUAAGGCUCCCCGGUUGCAUGUGAGGCACUUUGAAGAUGAAUACCCAGAAUGAGGGAAACAUGAAACAAAACUGACUCCCUUAUGUCAGAGUGAGCAGCAGAUUCCUCAAAGACCUGCAGCACAAUGGUGUUCUUUGGUGGGUGAGAGGAAAUAGCCUGUGGUUCACCAGCUCGUCAGAGCAGAGUAAAAUUGCACAGGGUUGUGCUUUGGGUGGUAGAGCAGCAAAAGAAAGGUUUUGGGGGGGCUCCACAAUAUUCAAGUCUGGCAAAACUUGUUUCAGGUUGGCUUCCUUGGGUCUCACUUGAUGAAGGGAAAUUUAUUAUUAUUAAUUUUUCUUCCCCCAGAAUUUUGCUGUGUGUUCAAGGUGACAGAUGUGCCACAUCUUCUUGAGGGAGAAUAUUUUCCUUUGUCUCCAUGAAAAUCCUCAUCCCAGCUCCUUAAACUCUCAGGAUCCACCAUAGUUUUCUGGUACAUUUUGGUGGUGACCACCCACAGUCCUGGGAGCUGAAGGGCCCUUGGGGGGGUGGCACAGCUGUAGGAAGUUUUUUGUUAUUCGCCUUAUUCCAAAUAUUACUGUGACAGUUGGCAU